UGUUUGAUGAAACCAUGGAUUUGAUUAAGAAUAUGCCUAUGAAACCGGAUGCUGCAGUUUGGGGAGCAUUAUUGGGUGCAUCUAGAAUGCAUUCCAAUGUGGAGUUAGCUGAGCUAGCACUAAAGCAUCUCAUAAAUCUUGAGGUUGGAAAUCCAACUCGUUAUGUGGAGUUGUCGAAUAUAUAUUCUCAAUCUGGUAGGUGGGUCGACGCAAGAAACACAAGAGUCAGGAUGCAAGCAACCGGAUUGAAAAAGAUUCCAGGAUGUAGUUGGGUAAAGUAGAGGAAAGUCCUAUUAAUUUUUCUCGAGUGAACCCGAGGUAUAUGUGGCUGUGUGGGCUCACCGCUAGACAUUGUUCCAGGAAACACAAGAGUAAGGAUGCUAUGAAUUGUUUGAAAGUGAACAUGAAAUAGAUGUGGCUGCAUACAUAUGCAGAAGGUCAUAUAAUACUUUCCAGAAGAAGUAGAGUGCCAAGAAUUACACUGGAAAUUUAGGAAAUGCAAGCCAACCAUAUAUCUUUGGGUGCUUGGCAAAGGUGCAACCGAUCCAGAAAGGCUGUUAAAUAUGAAGGAAUUGCCUGCAUCGUGGUCCUUGAAGUGACGGUUUGCAAGAAGGCAAGAAGGCAAGAAGGUAGACUACUUCCAGGAUCUAAUAGACGUUCGAUAAAAAUUGUCACCACCCGAUACAGCUAGCUAGGGUGAGAAGCAAUGCAAGAUGAUCGAUCUAUGCAAGCUCCAAAGGUAGGUUCAAGAGAGAGCUAGAUGGAUGGCAUCCAAAUAGAUGAUCAGAGUCGCAAGCCACUAGCCACUGACCCUACUGAAAUGUAUUAUUUCUGUUUGGCUUAACUAUGUUAUCUUUUUCUGCUUUUGUUCUUGGGGUUGAGGGGUGGUUGUUGAUAUGGUGGAUGGGCCAAAUGACAUUAUCUUAAAUGCCUCAAUUCUAGAUCAUAGUUCACUAAUGGCUUAUGUUUAUACUUAAAUGAAAAAUAAAAUUAGGCCUCAA